rnacentral:rRNA from 1 species
UAGGGAAUCUUCGGCAAUGGGGGGAACCCUGACCGAGCAACGCCGCGUGAGUGAAGAAGGUUUUCGGAUCGUAAAGCUCUGUUGUUAAGGAAGAACGAGUGUGAGAAUGGAAAGUUCAUACUGUGACGGUACUUAACCAGAAAGGGACGGCUAACUACGUGCCAGCAGCCGCGGUAAUACGUAGGCCCCGAGCGUUGUCCGGAUUUAUUGGGCGUAAAGCGAGCGCAGGCGGUUAGAUAAGUCUGAAGUUAAAGGCAGUGGCUCAACCAUUGUAGGCUUUGGAAACUGUUUAACUUGAGUGCAGAAGGGGAGAGUGGAAUUCCAUGUGUAGCGGUGAAAUGCGUAGAUAUAUGGAGGAACACCGGUGGCGAAAGCGGCUCUCUGGUCUGUAACUGACGCUGAGGCUCGAAAGCGUGGGGAGCGAACAGGAUUAGAUACCCUGGUAGUCCACGCCGUAAACGAUGAGUGCUAGGUGUUAGGUCCUUUCCGGGACUUAGUGCCGCAGCUAACGCAUUAAGCACUCCGCCUGGGGAGUACGACCGCAAGGUUG